rnacentral:lncRNA from 1 species
CCAUUUCACAUGCAAUUUGCUGAGCAUAGUAAAGUGAAGUUUUAUAACCUUUAUAUGGAUAAUGUAACGCAACGCACAAUGCUGGGGGCUACGCCGAUGCAAGCGGUUAGCGCCAGCGAAUGCAUGAAAUGUUAACAAAGCUAAAACUAGCAGUCACCGAAGUCAAUUUGAUUUAGGAACAUAUUUUUCUGGCGGUUUGGGGCCUGACUUGGACCACUCAGCCAUGGGCG